rnacentral:rRNA from 1 species
UGUUAUUUUGCCCCAAAGCGUCCCACUGGUGAGUAAUGCCUGGGACAUUGCCCAGUCGAGGGGGAUAACUGUUGGAAACGACUGCUAUUAUUUCAUACGCCCUACGGGGGAAAGCAUGGGACCUUCGGGCCUUGCGCGAUUGGAUAUGCCCAGGUGGGAUUAGCUAGUUGGUGAGGUAAUGGCUCACCAAGGCGACGAUCCCUAUCUGGUCUGAGAGGAUGAUCAGCCACACUGGAACUGAGACACGGUCCAGACUCCUACGGGAGGCAGCAGUGGGGAAUAUUGCACAAUGGGGGAAACCCUGAUGCAGCCAUGCCGCGUGUGUGAAGAAGGCCUUCGGGUUGUAAAGCACUUUCAGCAAGGAGGAAAGGUCAAUAGCUAAUUUCUGCUGACUGUGACGUUACUCGCAGAAGAAGCACCGGCUAACUCCGUGCCAGCCGCCGCGGUAAUACAGAGGGUGCAAGCGUUAAUCGGAUUUACUGGGCGUAAAGCGCACGCAGGCGGUUGGAUAAGUUAGAUGUGAAAGCCCCGGGCUCAACCUGGGAAUUGCAUUUAAAAUGUCCAGCUAGAGUCUUGUAUAGGGGGGUUAGAAAUCCACGUGGUGCGGUGAAAUGCCUAUAAAUCUGGAGGAAAAUCGGGGGCGAAAGGCGGUCCUCUGGACAAAUACUUUAUAUUCAAGUGCGAAAAUCUUGGGUGAAGCAAACAGGAUUAUAAUACCUUGGUAGUCCAACUCCUCUAACGAUAUCGAUAUUGAGAGGCGCUGCCCUUUAAACCUGCUUCCAGAACAUACGAGUUCAAACUUCCCCCUGGGUGAUACGGUGCGCCAGGUUUAAACUUAAUAAUUUUCGGGCCCCCCCCACGCGGGGAGCGGGGUAUUCUUAGCCUCUGAAACUUUCCGGCUUGCACUUCUAAACCCUUAAAACGCCUACCUUGGUAUAAAAAAAGUCACGAGUUUCCUCCUUACGCUAAUGGUGCUAUAUCAGAAAAUGAACCGCUUUUCUGACUAGGGGGAUAUGGACUCUGUAUAGAACGUGGAUACAUAUUAGUUCUUCGUGUCCCGUUAGUCUCUGGGGCUUACAAGAGCCAACCCUAGUGGAGGGCUCCUCCGGCGUCUGACUAAUC